CUUUAUGUCCUCUAAUCUUCCUCCAAGUUUAUAUAAAAAGCUUUUGAAAUACGUUACUCCUUCUUCUGUCCUGCGGUGCCAAUGAAGACAAGGAAACUUCUUCUGACCAAAGGAUUAUAGAAACCAUGGGCCUUUUGUGAAAUGGGCUGUGGAAAUUGGUUACUAUGCCAGCUCAGAAAAAAUGAAGUAGAGAUGUUGCUAUGAGCACAUGCUGUGUUUCCUCCCUCUGGUCCUGAAAUGUUAACAGAUUUCUACGCAAUACGUGCUUUGACUCCAGGAGACUACAAGAGAUGCAGGGAACCAAGAGAACUUUGCAUUUUUGAAUUACAUUAAGUGAGUAGACUGGACUCCACAAGACACAGAGAAGGGACCCAAACCAACCAAAGGGACAAUCUUAUUGUAUAACUUUGUGUUUGGCCAGAAAAUCUAAGGAAAAGGAGAAGAAAAGGGAGGACAACUUGUUCUGGAUACCGUCUCCAAACAAUUGGAAGAGCAGAAGGUUAUCAGGAGUAGUCAGCAUGGAUUCUCCAAGGAAAAAUCAUGCUUGACCAACCUGACUUUAGGUUGAUUACUUUAAUACCACACAUUUCCACUUCUCCCUGGUGACCUCUAUAUGUGUGGUUUGCUGCAACUCAAAGCCCACCAUGGAAGAUACAUUUCUCAAUUUGUGCAGUAUAUCCUACUAAGCAUUGACGACUUGCUGCUGUUAUAAAAGAAACAAGGUUUAUAUAUUGUUAAGACCACUGAACUAAAUCAUUUUUGUCUGAGAUGAAUCUUCCUGAACUACAUUUCUUGGAUAAUAAUGAAUACCUCAAGUCACCAGGGAAAAAAAGAAAUGGAGGAGAAUUGGCUGGAAGUUUUUGAGGACACAGUAAACCUCAAUCUUCUAGAUAAAUCUGUGCUUCUGAUUCUAGCAUUUUGUUAGCUGGUGCUACUACAUAUUCCAACAGGGGAAUGCUGUUGGAAUAUGUAGUUCAUGAACAGAAUUCACCAUGCUCCAAAAAUGACAAAGUAACAUAACUUUUGUUUCUGUCUAUAAGAAGUCACUAAUCAUACAAGAGGCUGAAUACAGAUAAUUAUUUCAGAAUAGUAAAAAGUGAACAGUGAAACAGACUCCUCAGAUGUGAUCUUCAGUAAAGAAAGGCAUUUUGUGAGGUAAAAUGGCCUUCAGGAAUAUUAGCUGCCUGCUCAUGAAUCAAAAUAAAGCUUUUUACUGGUCCCUAACUGCAUAGUGAGCUCUAGAAUGUACAAAAAGUAAAUACAGAAUACUACUUAUGUGUUUUAUCUUUGUUGCUAUCAAAAUAUUCUGUCAUUUAAACAUUCAUAUUUUAGGAAUGUUGCAGGAAGGUUUUUGGGAGCUGUUACUGAUCCAACUGUUCAAGUUUGAAUCCUUUGGGAAUUAACAGCUCUCUGUUGUCAGUUGUAUAUUCUUUUAAACAACUUCUUAAACUAUGUGUUAUUUACAUCUAUGUUGCUAAAGUAUCCUGUGCUGUUUUACAUGCUCCUAUAGCCAAAUGUUUAUAUAUUCCUUAAAUUCAUACUGUGUGCAGAGUGAGAAAAGGGAUGAUCAUCACUUUCUGUAGUUGUAAAAAGGAGGCACUGCGGUGCAUAUUCUUCCCCUGAGUUUUCAGAGAACCAUGGAAAGAGGUGCAAACAGGUGCAGGGAAUUACAGGUAUAUCAGUGCCAUGAGAUUUGAUACAGCUCAGUGAGAACAAAGAUACCUCUGAUACUUUAAUUUCAUGAAAUUAAAGCAUCUUCAGAUGCAAAAUAUUUUCAGAUGUAAAAUCUUUUCUAGCCAAGACACUAUUUGAAAAGCCAUCCAACCUGUUCCCUUCCUUAUAGUAAGGAAGUCCAUAGUUGGUAAGAAAG
ensembl:lncRNA